GGUUCCGUAGUGUAGUGGUUAUCACGCUCGCUUCACACGCGAGAGGUCAUGGGUUUAAGCCCCAGCGGAACCA
rnacentral:tRNA from 1 species